rnacentral:misc_RNA from 1 species
GAUGAAGAACUUAGUGAAAUGCGAUACGUAAUGUGAAUUGCAGAAUUCAGUGAAUCAUCGAAUCUUUGAACGCAUAUUGCGCUCUUUGGUAUUCCGAAGAGCAUGCUUGUUUGAGUAUCAGUAAACACCUCAACCUCUUCUUGAUUUUUCAAAAGGAGGGUGGACUUGAGCUAUCCCAACAACCUUUACCGGUCGGCGGGCGGCUUGAAAUGCAGGUGCAGCUGGACUUUUAUCUGAGCUAAAAGCAUAUCUAUUUAGUCCUCGUCAAACAGGAUUAUUACUUUUGCUGCAGCUAACAUAAAGGAUAAUUGUCCUCUUUGCUGACUGAUGCAGGAUUUUACGACACUUUAUGUGUUGUUCAACUCGAUCUCAAAUCAAGUAAGACUACCCGCUGAACUUAAGCAUAUCAAUAAGCGGAGGA